GCAAAAAGCACUCAUUCGGGAAAAAGAGAAAAUAUCAGCUAAGAGCAUGGACGACGUUGAUCGAUUGUUCGAGUGCUUCAAGUGCGGCGUCUCUCCUCCCCAAUCUGCUUUUAGAGAAAGAAAAAGAAGAAAGAACAAAUUGAAGCAUGGGAGUUCAACCCAAGAGGUCUCUACAUCUCCUGGCAUUCCAUCUUCGGGAUCAGCUGGACAAAGACCAAAAAAAGCAAAAGAUGUACAGCUCUCCAUUGAGAAAUUUGAUACAGCAACAAUUAAAGCCAACAAAAAUAAUCCUGGGAAGCAGUUCUCUCCUAUUGUAUUCUAUGGGUCUCCUAAUGGUGUGCCCCCAAAGAGACCAUCCAGUUUGUUGCAAUUGUUACAUCAAAUACGUGUUGAUCUGAGUGAACAAAAUAAAUUGAGCUCGAGGAAGGAAAUAUGGGCUACAUUUCCUAGGCAGGAUGAAGCAAUGAAGUUUGCCAAACGGCACAUGCAGGUUCGGGUUUUUAGUUAUCAAGAUCACUUUUCUGGACAACGAAGGUUCCUUGUCUCUACAUAUAAGGAAUUCUGGCAAAGGUACAAAAAUAUGGAUUCCAAAUUCCGUCAUCAUUAUGAAGUGAUUCAGGAGGGUUUACCAUGCCACCUUUACUUUGAUUUAGAGUUUAGUAAGAGAGUGAAUGCAGAAAACAAUGGAGAUGAAAUGGUUGAUCUCCUGAUAUCAGUCAUUUUUGAAGCCUUACUUGAUAAAUACUCCAUUCAAGGAAACCUAGAAUGGAUAGUAGAGCUCGAUUCCUCCACUGAAGAAAAGUUCUCUCGCCAUUUAAUUAUUCGCAUACCAAAGACUGCUUUCAAGGACAACUCACAUGCAGGUGCAUUUGUUGCUGAGAUAUGCUCUCGGAUUUUAAGUGCAAGGAAGAGUGAUGAAAGAUUUGAGAAAUUUUUUGUGAGGAAAGAUUCAACGUCCACCGAACCAUCAAGCCAACUUUUUGUGGACACUGCUGUCUAUUCUAGAAAUCGUUGCUUUCGUUUAGCUCUAUCAUCAAAGGCAGGGAAGAAUUCUGUUCUUUUACCUAUGGGGCGAUUCAAAUGUAAGGACAUGUGUGAGGAAGAGAUGUUCAUGGCAUCAUUGAUCUGCAAUAUGGAUGCUGACUGUGAGAAGCUUUUAGUCUGCAAAAUGGAGUUAGAUUGUGUCAAAACCCUGCUCUUUGAUACUGAGGAGAAUCAUAAUAUUGGAAAUUAUUACAGUGCCCCUCAAGAAUUUGCAUUGAGUGCUUGCACAAGAGAUCUUACAACAACAUACUUCCUGGGGAAGUCACCAUUUCCAGCUCUAGACAAAUUUGUAGAAUUCAUUGCCUCCAUUGGCAAUGUCUCAGGAAAAAUACGGAGCUGGUUUUGGUUCUCAGAAUAUGGACUGAUGGUCUACAGCAUGUCAAGAAAUAGAUACUGUGAGCGAAUUGGUAGACAGCAUAAAAGCAAUCAUGUGAUGUACAUUGUUGACUUAAGAAGGGCUGUUUAUUAUCAGAAAUGUUAUGAUCCUGACUGCAGAGGUUACCGAUCUCCCUUACGACCAAUCCCGAUUGAUGUCAUUCCUGAUCCUUUGGUUUUCUUUGAUUCUGAUCAGACAAUUAAUCAUGGUGUUUCAAGAGUUAAUAACCUCAACCAUCAAUUUGUUGAUAGUGAUGAGGAACAUGCUUUGCUUUACAAUGAUGAAAACAUUACAGACAACUGCAGUAAAGAUUCUUGGUGGGUUGAAGCCAUAAGAGUUGCAGAUGAUAUUGAAAAUAAGAAAAAUACAGUAGAGCUUAGCAACAUGGAGGAGAGAAUUAACGAUGAAGAUGAGGAAUGGUGGGUAGCUGUAGAAAGUACUGCAUCCCAGGCCGAAUUGAACCAUUUCAACUGUGCAGGUUAGGGCAGUUGGUUGAUAAACAUUCUGGCCAUGUAUACCAAUACAGAUGCAUUCUCUCUUGAACAAAAGAUUUUAGCGACUUCUGGCAACUCAACUAGAACAAGUGCUGCAUUACCAUUUAAACUGCAAGCCACGUUGGUAUUCUACUAUCUGGUGAUCUUGCAUGGAAGAAUCGGUUUGGAGAUCAUUUCGCUUGGAAUCUGAUUGUUAUGGGGAAAAGCAAAAAUUUCAGAUUGCAGAAACUUUAAUACAUAAGAAGGCAAGCUCAAGUCGAAUGGAGUCUUUGAUUUGAUGCCACAAGUUAGAAGGUUAAUUAUGCAGUAGAUAAUGACGAUUCUCCAGCAAAGUUAGAUCGCACUCAGCUA